rnacentral:tRNA from 1 species
AGGGAUGUAGCUCAGUGGUAGAGUGCUUGCCUAGCAAACAAGAUGCAUUGGGUUCUAUCCUCAGCAUCAAAA